AAUAAAUUAAAAGUUGAACAAACUUAUAUAAUUUAAUUUCUAUUUUAAACUAUUAUAUUAAUUCAACAUCGAGGUAAUAAACUAAAAUUUUAAUUUAUUCUAUCAAUUUUAAUUAUC
rnacentral:rRNA from 1 species